AGGUGGUGUAGACUAGGGCUUUGGAAGGGGGCUGUUGUUCUUCCAAUGGGCCUUGUUAAGUGGCUUGACAGGGGGGGUCUUCAUCCCCUGCCCAUGUUUUCCUCCACUAUCACAGAUAUCUACCCACCAGCCCCUCCUCCACCUCCUUCUCAUCAUAGUCCAUUUUUGGGGUUGUGGCUGAGACAACAAAAUGGACUUAGGCAUGACUCAGUAUGACAACACCAUAGUUGAGGUAAAAUAGUUUAAGGCAUGAAUGAGCUUGGAAGCACAGGAGAGAUGAUGAAUGAUGUAAUAUUUUCAUCCAUUAUGGUUGGCGUUCCGAAUUAGGGUUUCGAAGUCUGCAGCUGCAAGGGAACUCGAUCCCGUUGCGGGGAGUUUCGUGGUGCUGGAUUGGACGUGGGAAUUUCUCCUUCUUGUUAUGAUGAACUGCAGAUGGGAACUUUUAUGAUUCCUUGAUUCGAGAGGUUCGCGUAAGUUUGAUGGUUUUGCGAGUUGGGGGUGUGAGAUCCGCCAUGCACGACGAUGACGAGCGUGUUGUCUUUGAGGCGGCUGAAGGCGAGGAGGUGAAAUUUCAAGCAACUUCAUAUUAGCCAGCAAAGUGCAGCAUUGGAGGUCAAAGAGUGGUAUUUUGAUGGUCAGGUUACUGUUGACCACAACGAGUGUUUUUUGGGUAUCGUACUUAAAACAAAUAUACGUAGAAUUGUGUUUUUUUCUAAUUUAGGAUCGCAAUUUUAAUGGCGUACAAACAUUGAAGUGGAAUUACUACUGGUAAGGGUGAUGCUCUUAUUACCACGUUUUCUGUUUCUGAAGAGGUCGCUAUUGGUCUCGACAGAUAAAUAAAAUCGUUAAAUGGUGACGGGGUGCAGACUCUCAUUUCUCCCGUAUUGUGAACUCGUUGCAUAUCAAAGAAUGCGACUUUAGCUCAUUAAGUACUUAAUGAGCAUUGAAGCGCAUUCUUGUGUUGGAGGAGCUACGAUUGUGAGAGAUAUCCGGAAGCUUGAAUGUGGAGUACAUAUUUCUCUGGGAUGCCCGGACGUGUUAAUAACUUGAUUAAAUGAAGGGGAUCGCGGAGGCAGUCAAAUUUCUCAUACUGGUAGUUGCGGGUGAUGCAAAUUGUUCACUUGUUAGUUGCUUUGGCCACCCAUUAUAGCAUAGAUUUCACUUACUAGUGGUUGAAUAGACUCUAGAGAAAUGCACGUUUUGAUGCAAUUAUGCAAAAGAGGCAGGCGGUCGGUGUUUCAUGGCUGCUUCAAUUUCUAAGUAUUCUUCAUCCUGUUCUGCAA